UACGUAGGGGGCUAGCGUUGUCCGGAAUCAUUGGGCGCAAAGAGCGUGUAGGCGGCUCGGUAAGUCCGCUGUAAAAGUCAAAGGCUCAACCUUUGAAUGUCAGUGGAUACUGCCGGGCUAGAGUCCGGAAGAGGCGAGUGGAACUCCUGGUGUAGCGGUGGAAUGCGCAGAUAUCAGGAGGAACACCAAUGGCGAAGGCAGCACUCUGGGACGUGACUGACGCUGAGACGCGAAAGCGUGGGGAGCAAACAGG
rnacentral:rRNA from 1 species